AACGAACGCUGGCGGCAGGCCUAACACAUGCAAGUCGAACGCUCCGCAAGGGGAGUGGCGCACGGGUGAGUAACACGUGGGAACCUACCUUCUGGUACGGAACAACCAAGGGAAACUUUGGCUAAGACCGUAUACGACCUCCGGGUGAAAGAUUGAUCGCCGGAAGAGGGGCCCGCGUCCGAUUAGGUAGUUGGUGAGGUAACGGCUCACCAAGCCUUCGAUCGGUAGCUGGUCUGAGAGGAUGACCAGCCACACUGGGACUGAGACACGGCCCAGACUCCUACGGGAGGCAGCAGUGGGGAAUAUUGGACAAUGGGCGCAAGCCUGAUCCAGCCAUGCCGCGUG
rnacentral:rRNA from 1 species